rnacentral:rRNA from 1 species
AGGACGAACGCUGGCGGCGUGCCUAACACAUACAAGUCGAACGGGACCAGGGGGCAACUCUGGUUCAGUGGCGGACGGGUGCGUAACACGUGAGGAACAUGACCUUCGGCGGGGGAUAGCCGGCCCAACGGCCGGGUAAUACCGCGUACGACCAUCCGGGGACAUCCCUGGGUGGUGAAAGCAGCAAUGCGCCGAUGGAGUGCCUCGCGGCCUAUCAGCUAGUUGGUGAGGUAACGCUCACCAAGGCGACGACGGGUAG